GGCUCAGAUUGAACGCUGGCGGCAUGCCUUACACAUGCAAGUCGAACGGUAACAGGUCUUCGGAUGCUGACGAGUGGCGAACGGGUGAGUAAUACAUCGGAACGUGCCCGAUCGUGGGGGAUAACGGAGCGAAAGCUUUGCUAAUACCGCAUACGAUCUACGGAUGAAAGUGGGGGAUCGCAAGACCUCAUGCUCAUGGAGCGGCCGAUAUCUGAUUAGCUAGUUGGUAGGGUAAAAGCCUACCAAGGCUUCGAUCAGUAGCUGGUCUGAGAGGACGACCAGCCACACUGGGACUGAGACACGGCCCAGACUCCUACGGGAGGCAGCAGUGGGGAAUUUUGGACAAUGGGGGCAACCCUGAUCCAGCAAUGCCGCGUGAGUGAAGAAGGCCUUCGGGUUGUAAAGCUCUUUUGUCAGGGAAGAAACGGUGGGGGCUAAUAUCCUCUGCUAAUGACGGUACCUGAAGAAUAAGCACCGGCUAACUACGUG
rnacentral:rRNA from 1 species